UGCCUUUUUAUUUUACUUAAAAAAUGCAACCAUCAUGGAGCAUGAUGGCACCCCAUAUUCGUUCUAUGUCUAAAAUGUGUAAAUAUUUCACGACUGCCUUGCUUCAGAAUAUAUAUUUCACAUGUUCAUCAAUGUCACUGCAUGUUGCAACCACUUUUAACAGGCCGUUAGAGUUGGAAUUAGUUGGAAUUUCACACCCCUUAGUCUUGAUACCAUAUCAAGUAGGCCUACUCGUUGUCAAAAUAAACUCCAGGAUUUGCUCUGUCCAAUAAUGCUACUUGUUAGUCAGUGCAACAAUUGUGAAGGACUAUUGGCAAGUAUUCCAGUUUUGAAAUAACAUGCAAUUACAGUCGUUUUAAACUACUUCCAUCUCUGCAUCUCCACACACUCAAUACUAUUAUUAUUCCAUUAUCUCCAUACACUCAUCACACAUGAAUUACUCACGAAGUUGUCAUUUUGUAGACAUAAAACAGGUCUCAAAUGAAACGGCGAACCUAGUGCUUUGCAAUGACGCUAGUAACUUGUUUGUGGAACGGUGCAGAUAGGAGUAUUAUACACCAAAUUCAACAAAGUUGCAAUCAUUGGUCAUUUCUUCACCCAUUUUCUAUAUACAUAGCUGUAUAAGUCACGAAGUGUUUGUAGCCUCAAAGGGAAACACAUAUUAAAAUGAACAACAGGACCCACACUUUCAAACGAUGCUAGAUGCUAAUCUGUACCAAAUACGGUGGAGUAAUCCAGUUAUGGAACUACAGCAAAGGUCAGUGUUGUUGCAUAUACUAUUUUACAUAUAAACAGACAUAUUUUAAAAAUUGCUAAGCCGUAAAGUGUCCCACCAUCAUGGUUGUGACAUCACCAGAUUAUAGAAAGUCUUGUCUAUGGAUAUCUGAAAAGAUAUCCUCUCUGGAAAAAACAUAUUUUCAGAUUGAUGUAAAAAAUAUAUUACAUUUUUACCUUAAUAUGAAUGCUGACAUAGAACUUGUACAAGUAAUAUCAUAUCAGAUGAUGGCAGAUCUGGGUAGCCCUGAUUGUCCUGGAAAAAAAUCAGACUCUUAAGAGUUUGAAUGCGUCGUGAUCUCAAUUUCCACAUUCUAUUGUGUUUGUUACAGCAGGUGUUCAGGUCUAUAUUGUGCCGUUUUGCUACGUUGUGUUGGGAUUGUCAUGCAUGUAACCUGACUGAAACUUACAUUUAAAAUAAUGUUCAUUCACUAUGUAAUUUCCCUACAUUUAAAGGAGCGUUCCUGUGAGAAAACUUGUUAUACUGACUUCUGAAGAAGUCGGUUGGUGUAUAGGCCUAACUAUUCAAGCAGCUUUAGCCGUGACUUUUCAAAAUUGAGUUUGUUCUUGGAUCUUGCAGUCAUUAUUGAAACAUUUUUAAAUCUAAAAAUAAAGUUACAUUGGGUAUGAUACAUUUAACUUCAUUUUAGGCCAGAUUGUUUAUCUACAACAGCAAGCGUUAGCAAGCGUAAGUUAUUAGUACAACAACUUUAUGAGCAUGUGUCCAGUACCCUAUUCGUUUAAUCGCAUGAACAAUGAAUCAGAUUUGGUUUUCGAUUGACUGGUAAACUCCAGAAGAACACUACCUGUUUCAUUGUCUUGUCAGUAGAGUGUUUGAGGCAAUUCAAAUAGUGAAGCCCAGCAGGUCGAUGAUGUGCGUUUUUAUGUAUGAAGCCCUUGCAACCACCCCUCGAUGGUCUACAUCUAACCUAAGGUUAUGGGGGAAUUAAAUAGGAUGGCAGACUGGAAUAAAGUACGAAGAAGCAGAAACUGAUUAAAUAUCACGGCACCUGAUAUCGAUCACAAACGACCGCGUUCAC
ensembl:lncRNA